rnacentral:lncRNA from 1 species
CAGGAGCCGGAAGGGAGUGGACCCCUGGAAAGGCCAGCUCUUCUUUUGCUGGGUGUCGUGCCGAUGCUGGUUUUGGCGGCUCUGCUGAAGUUCUUGUGGGUGUUGGGGAGAGCUCGUUUUCAGGCCGGCGCCGUUGCACUCGUCAGAAUGCAUUAUUGUCAGCCACCCACUAAUUAUCAGGAAAUUUAUAGCUGCAUUAGGUAAAUGUCACUUCACUGCAGUGGCCUGGAAUAAGAGUGUUUUCUGCUCUGAGUUAGCACCAUAGGCACAUCACAGUGAGAGUCUCGCCAAGUAAGCUACAGGCUUUAUUUAUGCACAAGCAUAUUAGUGUUUGGAGAGAAAGUAGCUAAGAGAUGGUGUGUUUGGUUCUUUCUCCUUUUUUGUUGGGGUGGGCGACAGCAUUUGAAGACUCAAAGCUGUGCAGUUCUCUGACAUGUAGCACACCAAAUAUAAAAGACCUCUUCUUCUUUUUUGGCGAUCACUCGUAGCCGAGUAAGAGUAAAAGACCUAAAUGCUGACUGGCCCAACAGCUGAUAUUUUACUGACCUAACUUGGAGAAGAACGCUGUCAGUGGCUACCAGCCAUGAUGGCAGUGCCCUGAUUCCAUGGUCAGAGGUGAUUAUGCUUCUGGAUCCCAGUUGCUUGGGAGCCACAGGGCAGAAAGUGCUCUUGUACUCAUGUCCUGCUUGCAGGUUUCCCGCAAGCAUCUGGCUGGCCACUGUGAGAACAAGAUGCUGGACUAGAUGGGCCACUGGCCUGAUCCUGCAGGCUCUUCUUGCGUUCUUAACCUAGUAAAACUGUCAGAAGACCAAAUGCCACAGUCUGAAAAGACAGCAAAUUCCAGAUCUGUGCAGGACCCACCAUAUUCUGCCAGUUUUUAAAGUCAGCAGCCACCCAUAAAGUUGUUGUCUGUCUGCCCUUGAGCCCCAUUGCAUGUGGAGCACCCAGCAGCCUGCAGAGGGUAUAGCAGGGCGGCAAAGGAAGCAUGUUGGUGGCUCACACUGUGCCACGCAGGGCCCAUCCUGCAUCAGUGCAGGCCAUGAUGCCAGUAAGGUAACCCUGACCAUUAGGUCCAGUCGUGACCAACUCUGGGGUUGCGGCGCCCAUCUCGCUCUAUUGGCCAAGGGAGCCGGCGUACAGCUUCCAGGUCAUGUGGCCAGCAUGACUAAGCCGCUUCUGGCGAACCAGAGCAGCGCACGGAAACACCGUUUACCUUCCCACCAGAGCGGUACCUAUUUAUCUACUUGCACUUUGAUGUGCUUUCGAACUGCUAGGUUGGCAGGAGCAGGGACCGAGCAACGGGAGCUCACCCCAUCGUGGGGAUUUGAACCGCCGACCUUCCGAUCAGCAAGUCCUAGGCUCUGUGGUUUAACCCACAACUUGCUUUAAAUGCUGCUAGCUUCUCAGCGGCCACAUUGCCCCUACAGUGCUGCCCUAGCGGCCUCCUCUGCCCCCUCUGUUAAAUGACACCUGGCACCUUCCCCCUUGCACUCAGCUAGAUGCACUGCUGCUCUCCAGGCAGCCAUCUUCCACACUGUCACUAAGCUCCCGACAAUCCAUCACAUUGUGAGUGGCUCCCCGCCAGCCCAUGAUACUCUUCUGUGGUCCACUAGGGGGAGGCCGAAAUGUUGCAUGUAGGUCUGCCCUGAGGGGCUGAGUUUAAAAGUGCUCAUUCUUAAAUGCUGCCUGGAUCUACGGCAUGAUAAGGAAAUAGCCAAAUAAACCAGCAGGCUCAGAAAGCAGCCAGUGGAUCAGGCUACCUUGCCAAGGCUAUGCUGCCCCAUGUAGAGAAGACUGCUGGGGCCAACAGGAUACUGUACAAGGAAACAGUUUUGUGAGUGGCUUGUGGAAAGACGUAAGUGAGACCAAAAGAGAGAAGCCAGCCUGAGCCUGUCCCUGGGAUUCAGCAAUGCAAUGCAUAUGUCCUUACAACAAUCAGCAUUGAACUCAUCUGUGUUUGUAAAUUAGUAAACAACCAUCCUGUUCUGGCAUGAAAGUUUUAUACUUCUGCUUUUCUAUAAGAAAUGGCCUUAUACAUUAUAGUGAUAUGAAUUUAUAAUAAAUAGAAGUCUAAGAUGGCUGCUGGGUAGUGCAUGAUUUAAAACCCCCAUUAUGCUCUAAUAUGGGAGAAGCGUUCUGACAAACGCUGACCGAGCAAAAGGUACCUCCUCUCCCCCUCCUCUAAAUUUAAUCCGAUCGGUCACUUUGAAGAUGUAUUACCCAUUUGCUGCAAACAAGAGGCAGACGGAAAAUGAGAUAAUACGGCAUAAAAUAGCUCUUUCUCAUGCAAAAUGGAUGGUGCUUUAUCACAGCAGUUUACUGCUAAACUUUGAUCAUUCGCGGAGAAGUUCUUGGAGCAAAGAGCACAGAAAAUAACUUGCUGCAUGAUUCCCCUGCUUUUUGCCCAUGGUGGUCACUUAGGUCAAGAUCCUAAAUAUGGUACCAUCACUCUGAAAGAAGUGAUAAGGCUGAGCUU